UGGGGAAUAUUGGACAAUGGGCGAAAGCCUGAUCCAGCAAUGCCGCGUGAGUGAUGAAGGCCCUAGGGUUGUAAAGCUCUUUUACCCGGGAAGAUAAUGACUGUACCGGGAGAAUAAGCUCCGGCUAACUCCGUGCCAGCAGCCGCGGUAAUACGGAGGGAGCUAGCGUUGUUCGGAAUUACUGGGCGUAAAGCGCACGUAGGCGGCUUUGUAAGUUAGGGGUGAAAGCCCGGAGCUCAACUCCGGAAUUGCCUUUAAGACUGCAUCGCUUGAAUCCAGGAGAGGUGAGUGGAAUUCCGAGUGUAGAGGUGAAAUUCGUAGAUAUUCGGAAGAACACCAGUGGCGAAGGCGGCUCACUGGACUGGUAUUGACGCUGAGGUGCGAAAGCGUGGGGAGCAAACA
rnacentral:rRNA from 1 species